CCUACGGGGGGCAGCAGUGGGGAAUAUUGGACAAUGGGGGGAACCCUGAUCCAGCCAUGCCGCGUGUGUGAAGAAGGCCCUCGGGUUGUAAAGCACUUUCAGUGAGGAAGAACGCCUGGUGGUUAAUACCCAUCAGGAAAGACAUCACUCACAGAAGAAGCACCGGCUAACUCCGUGCCAGCAGCCGCGGUAAUACGGAGGGUGCGAGCGUUAAUCGGAAUUACUGGGCGUAAAGCGCGCGUAGGUGGCUUGAUAAGCCGGUUGUGAAAGCCCCGGGCUCAACCUGGGAACGGCAUCCGGAACUAUCAAGCUAGAGUGCAGGAGAGGAAGGUAGAAUUCCCGGUGUAGCGGUGAAAUGCGUAGAGAUCGGGAGGAAUACCAGUGGCGAAGGCGGCCUUCUGGACUGACACUGACACUGAGGUGCGAAAGCGUGGGUAGCAAACAGGAUUAGAUACCCCGGUAGUC
rnacentral:rRNA from 1 species